ensembl:lncRNA
GGGAAUAAUGCCUAAAACAUGUCAUGUUUCUGGCUCCUCAAAGAACUCCAGCUGGAAUGCCGAGGCUCGAAGUGGAGGUCUCUGGAUUUGUCAGCCCUGCAGGCUUCUGGACACAUCUCCUCUCAGCCAUGAGGGGAUCAGAAGGAUUUAAUCUCUGUGUGCUCACCUGCAGCAUCCUGCUCUUGUCCUCCAGCCUGCCAUGCCUGGCUCAGCCUCUGGAGGAGGAGGAGGAGGAUGUGACAAAGGUCCAGCGUGGCCCCUGGGCAGGGAAUGGGCUGCAAGAUGAAAGGGCAGCCAUGGUGGGCUUGAAAAACAACCUGGGCCCUUCUGAGCAGACAGCUUCUGAGGAGCCCUGUGCAGUGUCAGCACUGCCAUCUGGAACACCCUUGGGUGGAGCUUUCACUGCAGGAGGAGAAGCCCUCCCUGAAGCUUUCACUGCAGGAGGAGAAGCCCUCCCUGAAGCUUUCACUGCAGGAGGAGAAGCCCUCCCUGCCAGCCCGAGCUAUGCUGUGCCCCACAGCCAGGGCCUGGUGGGUCCCCCCUCUGCUGGGGCAGUGCCUGCUGGCCAUGAGGAGGAGCUGGCUCCCACUGAGCCCCAGCUGCGUGAGGAUGAAGCCCUCAGGGCCAUGCUGACCACAGCUGUGACCACGCUGAGCCCUCCAGGCCAGGAGGAGUCUGGUGGCCCCGUUGGUGAGGCCACAACUGAGGGUGGGGUGGCAGUGGAGCCCAGCUCUGCUGGCCCCUCAGCAAACCCCCUUGCUGGGACCACUGAGGAGGAGGAGGAGGAAGCAGAGAGCAGCUCACAGCCCUCAGCUGUGCCCCAGCCCACGCUGAGCCCCAGCUCUCCCAGCUGGGAAGCAGCAAGUCACCUCCCUGUCAUCAUCCCGAGUCCCCAGGCUGCAGGUGUCACCUCUGGGCUGGGAACGGUGAGAGCCCACACAGGGAGCCCCCUGAAAGCCCUGGGUCCACCAACAUCUGUGGCUGCCAAACCUCCCCUUGUGGCAACUGAGGCCUUCCUUCAGCCAGAAGCUGGGACAGGUGUCACCCAACAGGAGCUGCCCUCUAUGCCUGGCACUGCCACCAUCCCCCCCAUGGACACUGUGCCACCUGACUGGGAUGACACCAAGCUGGGGGACAUCACUCAAGGGAGGAGCACAUCUCAUGAGGAGCUGGGGACAACAGAACCAUCCCAGACCAGCCAGGGAGGUGUGGGGGAGGAAGAGGAUGCCACCAGAGCAUUGCCCUCCCCAGUGUCCCCUCCAGCAGCGCCUGAGCUUGCCAAGGAGAGCAACUGCACAGAGCCAGUGCAAGGGGAGGAGCUGCCAGCACCUUCCCCAGGCAGCAGCAGCUCUGCUUCCCACCCUGGGAGCCUGUCAGAGGCAGGCACAGCUGAUCUUGGCUCGCUGGAAAACGUCAGUGCAGUGACAGCAGAGGAGGAGAAGAGCGUCCCUCCGUCACAGCCAGAGGCUGCUGUGCUGACAGAUACCCAGCCUGAGCUCUCUCCUACUCUGCAGAGUUCAUGGAAAGGUGCUGCUGAGGAGGUGACAGCAGCUGCCCAGGAGGCUGCUGCUGCUGUGCCAGCUGUGCCAGAGGGGCCAGGUGCCACCCAGGGAGCAGGGGCUGCCAGCUUCCCUCAGGAGAACAGCGGGGAGGACACCCAGAUGCUGACAGCUCCCAGUGCCACCCAGGUGCUGCUGGCAACUGGGGCUUCCUCCACAGGGAGCCCUGUGGCUGCAGAAGAUCUCACAGAUGGGAUCCUGGUCACCAGUGAGAAAGCUCUCCCAGCCCCUGGUGGGAUGUCUUCUACUCCAGCUGGACAGACAGAGGAGCCAGCCAGCAGAACUGUGGUCCUGGUGACCCCAUCAUCAGUGUCCCCCUCUGCCAGGAGGACAGCUGUCCCCUCUGCCAGGAGGACCAGCACAGCUGGCACCUACGGGCUGGAGCGCCUGGAGUCUGAAGGUACCCCUGGGCCCCAGGGGCAGGGGGGCUCCUGUGGGGUGCCAGCCCUGCCCUGACAGCCCCAG